rnacentral:rRNA from 1 species
CCUACGGGGGGCAGCAGUGGGGAAUAUUGGACAAUGGGGGCAACCCUGAUCCAGCCAUGCCGCGUGUGUGAAGAAGGCCCUCGGGUUGUAAAGCACUUUCAGUGAGGAAGAACGCCUGGUGGUUAAUACCCAUCAGGAAAGACAUCACUCACAGAAGAAGCACCGGCUAACUCCGUGCCAGCAGCCGCGGUAAUACGGAGGGUGCGAGCGUUAAUCGGAAUUACUGGGCGUAAAGCGCGCGUAGGUGGCUUGAUAAGCCGGUUGUGAAAGCCCCGGGCUCAACCUGGGAACGGCAUCCGGAACUGUCAAGCUAGAGUGCAGGAGAGGAAGGUAGAAUUCCAGGUGUAGCGGUGAAAUGCGUAGAGAUCGGGAGGAAUACCAGUGGCGAAGGCGGCCUUCUGGACUGACACUGACACUGAGGUGCGAAAGCGUGGGUAGCAAACAGGAUUAGAUACCCUAGUAGUC